UACGGGGGGGGCAAGCGUUGUUCGGAAUUACUGGGCGUAAAGGGCUCGUAGGCGGCCAACUAAGUCGGACGUGAAAUCCCUCGGCUCAACCGGGGAACUGCGUCCGAUACUGGAUGGCUUGAGUUUGGGAGAGGGAUGCGGAAUUCCAGGUGUAGCGGUGAAAUGCGUAGAUAUCUGGAGGAACACCGGUGGCGAAGGCGGCAUCCUGGACCAACACUGACGCUGAGGAGCGAAAGCCAGGGGAGCAAACGGG
rnacentral:rRNA from 1 species